rnacentral:rRNA from 1 species
GAUGAACGCUGGCGGCGUGCUUAACACAUGCAAGUCGAACGAGACGAUUGAAAGCUUGCUUUUGAAAGUCGAGUGGCAAACGGGUGAGUAACGCGUAGACAACCUGCCGUAAAGAUGGGGACAACAGUUCAAAAGGACUGCUAAUACCGAAUGUUGUAGAGUUUCCGCAUGGGAAUCCUACUAAAGGUGGCCUCUACUUGUAAGCUAUCGCUUUACGAUGGGUUUGCGUUUGAUUAGCUAGUUGGUGGGGUAACGGCUUACCAAGGCGACGAUCAGUAGCCGGUUUGAGAGGAUGAACGGCCCCAUUGGAACUGAGACACGGUCCCGACUCCUACGGGAGGCAGCAGUGGGGAAUUUUCCGCAAUGGGCGCAAGCCCGACGGAGCAACGCCGCGUGAGUGAAGAAGGGUUUCGACUUGUAAAGCUCUGUUGUCGGGGACGAAUGUGGAGAUGGUGAAUAACCCUUUUCAAUGACGGUACCUGACGAGGAAGCCCCGGCUAACUACGUG